rnacentral:lncRNA from 1 species
AUGAAAAUGUAAUGAUGCAUGAUUGUGAGUACAACUUGCAUAAUAUGAUGAGUGAGAACUAUGUGAAUGUCGAAAAUCCUAUGUGUAUGCAUGAGAGAAAAGUGAGCACCCAAAGUGAGCAAAAGAGCAGAGUGGCACAAUGACCUAGAUCGAGUGGCAUUUGAUAAAGUUAAAGUGAAACGACACUAGAGAUAGUGUGAGGUAAAGAACCAAUGUAAUGUAAAGAAUGAUGAAAAUGACAAUGUUUAAAGUUAAAGUAAUGUGGGGAGUAAAGAACACGAAGUGUUAGAGGUAGCCAAAAGUAAAGAAUGUAAAGAAUAUAAUUGCUAGAGUUAGCAAAAGUAAAAGAAAUGUAAAGAAUGUGAUUGCAUGAGUUUGCAACAUAAAGUGAUGUAAAGAACACUAGAGCUAGUGUAAAGUCAAGAUUGAACUUAUAAAUCCUUUGAGUUAAGGAUAUGAUCAUACUUGCUAUGAGUUCCGUGCUCGAGGGCGGUCGCUCCCCCUCGGGCGAUGCGCUCCGGAGUUAUGCAUC